rnacentral:rRNA from 1 species
UGCCUAAUACAUGCAAGUCGAGCGCAGGAAACCAGUUGACCCCUUCGGGGUGAUUCUGGCGGAAUGAGCGGCGGACGGGUGAGUAACACGUGGGCAACCUGCCUGUAAGACUGGGAUAACUUCGGGAAACCGGAGCUAAUACCGGAUAGUAUUUCCUUUCUCCUGAUUGGAAAUGGAAAGACGGUUUCGGCUGUCACUUACAGAUGGGCCCGCGGUGCAUUAGCUAGUUGGCGGGGUAAUGGCCCACCAAGGCGACGAUGCAUAGCCGACCUGAGAGGGUGAUCGGCCACACUGGGACUGAGACACGGCCCAGACUCCUACGGGAGGCAGCAGUAGGGAAUCUUCCGCAAUGGACGAAAGUCUGACGGAGCAACGCCGCGUGAGCGAUGAAGGCCUUCGGGUCGUAAAGCUCUGUUGUUAGGGAAGAACAAGUACGAGAGUAACUGCUCGUACCUUGACGGUACCUAACCAGAAAGCCCCGGCUAACUACGUGCCAGCAGCCGCGGUAAUACGUAGGGGGCAAGCGUUGUCCGGAAUUAUUGGGCGUAAAGGGCUCGUAGGCGGUUUCUUAAGUCUGAUGUGAAAGCCCACAGCUCAACUGUGGAGGGUCAUUGGAAACUGGGGAACUUGAGUGCAGAAGAGGAGAGUGGAAUUCCACGUGUAGCGGUGAAAUGCGUAGAUAUGUGGAGGAACACCAGUGGCGAAGGCGACUCUCUGGUCUGUAACUGACGCUGAGGAGCGAAAGCGUGGGGAGCAAACAGGAUUAGAUACCCUGGUAGUCCACGCCG